AUUUCACAAUACAAGUUAUGCCCAAGCAAAAAGGCAGAUACAAUAACCUUUCCCUGUAUAAGAUACUUUUCUUAGUGCAGUCUGUUCUACAUUUUCUCAUUCAAAUCCCCCCUUUUCUUCCUCGGAUCUAAAUCUCGAUCUGUUCAUCAAUGGCGUUGGAGUGGGUGGUGCUAGGCUACGCUGCUGGAGCAGAGGCCGUAAUGCUCCUCCUCCUUACUCUCCCGGGCCUUGACCCGCUCCGCAAGGGCCUAAUCAGCGUGACCCGUAGCCUGCUCAAGCCUUUCCUGUCCAUCGUGCCCUUUUGCCUCUUCCUGUUGAUGGAUAUAUACUGGAAAUAUGAAACCCGACCCAGCUGUGAAACCGAAUCCUGUUCUCCGUCCGAACACCUCCGACAUCAAAAAUCGAUUAUGAAGUCUCAGCGAAACGCACUUUUGAUCGCCUCUGCUCUUGUUUUCUAUUGGCUGCUUUAUUCCGUUACCGGCCUUGUUGUGAAGGUCGAUCAGUUGAACAAGCGUAUCGAGAAGUUGAAGGCACAAGAUUAAUUAAUCUGAACUGGAACUUUUCGGAUCUCAGAUAAGGGCAUUUGAUCAAAAAACCUUUUCGUUGUUAGUAUCUGUUAUUAAUAUUUUGAUGAUGAACUGGGUCGUUGGAUGUGUAAUUGCUGCUUUUGACCAUUGUUAGGACGCCUUUUACUUUUCCUUAAUCGACUGAAUUAUAGGUUUGGUACUCGGAUAAUUGAGUAUUUUUUUUAGGGCUUUUGAACUUUUUCUGUUUAAUAUGGUUUUGGUUUAAGCGUGAUUGCAGAAUUUAUGAAAUGCAAUUUAUCUUUGGAUUAUAUUUUGGUUUUUAGUAUUUUGAUUACAGGGAGACUAUGCAUUUACUUAGAUAAUUAUUUUAUACUUUAUUGGUAGUUAUUGAUGGAUUCCAGAUAAAU
rnacentral:lncRNA from 1 species